GUGUCUUGGUUUUAAUUGGAUUUGGAUCUCCACAUCGUUGGUGGGAGAAGGUUAUCAGGAUGGCUUCAAAAUUUGCGACCACAAUUGGCGACGUACGAAGGGACAAGGAAUUAAGGUGAUUGCUGGGAGCCUUGGGGAAUGCCAAAGCCUUGCACAUCAGAGAACACCAAGCGGCCGCUACAAUAAGGUGGAGAUGGCAUCUGGAUAACAGACGGAGAUGCAGAGGUCCUGGAGCAGGUGCUGGUGAUGCGAGGGGACAACGGAGUGAAACAGGCUGCUCCAGACAGCUGAACCAUGACCCAUCCAGUAGCUGUUGAACCUGCUGCAGAGCCUACAGCCCAAGCGGAGCCAUACAGUGCCCAAACCAGCUUCCGAAUGAUGGCUGUGCAAGAUCAACUACUACCCAUCGCUGACCCUGACUUUAAUCAAGAGUAGGACCAAGUCGUCUCAAGUAUUCUUAGAAGCUAUGCGAGAUCCAGCAGCAAGAAGUACCAAGAGAGACUUUUCUCGGACUCAUAAAUUGGUUGAAAUAUGGGACUGAAAAAGGGACACAAGUUGAGUAAAGGUUGAAGCUGCUGCAGAGAAAUGUCAACCUUGAAGCUAACAAAGGACAUUUCAAAGCCCACACUGAGAAGUUGUUCAAAAAAGAAGUUGCACCUGACCAAGAUGAAAUCCAAAAUUGGGAAUUAAUUGUUUAAUUGUUUUAUUUUUAAUGUCACAUAUGGUGUUGUGUAAUCCAUGUAUGUAUAUGUGUCUCUACUGAUGUGUUUUAUGCCUUACUUUCAUUUUCCUGUAAUUAGGCUGAUUUUUAAGUUUCUUGAGUAUUCUGUUUAGGAUACUGUGUAGUAUGAUUUGCAAAUGAAGAUGAAUCAAUUUGUCUUAAAUUAAUUGACUAAGAGAAAUGGAAUCUUGGGAGAAUGUUAUGUUGAUAACUGUGAGGUUAUUGGUGGAAGGAAGGGCUUAUUCAUUUGAGCAACAACUGUGUGGGAUCUUUAUACAAAUUCUUAUGUUCUAUGUAGAGCUUGCUUUAAAAUAUGUUAGCAAAAAAACAGCGCACGCAUUAGUUUUCACGAUUUUUGUUCUUCUUUAGUCAUGGGGUCUUUUUAGGUGGUACCUCCAGGUACCACAGGGGGGAAUGUAGUGGAUUUUUGUGUGAUAUGUAUAACUAUGUAACUAUAUACACUAUAUAUCUAUGCGCACUGAACAUAUAUAUUUUAACUUUCAUGUGGAGUCUUAAACACAAGACAUUUUGCUUCACCGAGGUUUAUUAAGUUGGUACUGUAACAGGGCAGUUAAUGUAGGGGGAGAGUUCUCUUGAAUAAUUUACUUAAUAAUUAAUUAAUUUAACGUCUUUAAUGCAGCACAACCAAAACAGUAACAUUGUAACAGAGAUCCUGAACACA